UAUGUGUCAGCUUAGCUCUGCCGAUGGGUAUGGAUGGAUCCAGCAGUGACGAAGAUUCAGAACAAAAAAGAUUAACCUGGGAAAAGGCCAAGCUGGAAGCAAGAUGAAGGGCCUAGAUUUUGGAGACGCCUGAUGGGCAAGGGUUCUAAUGCUUGCAGAGUUCAUAAGCAGAAAAAUCAAUUUCGCCAUCAAGCUCCAAGCCAACCAAAAAGAUCUAGCUAACAGAGCUUGCUUCAUACUGACCAGAAAAGAAGAGAGAGGGCAACAGGGGUGCGUAAUGAUAAUUCACAUUUAUAGAACAUGCUUCACAACAGCUCUGCGAAAUAAGGAGUGCAAGUAUUAUCACUUCUAUGUUCUAUAACUGGUGCUGGCACAUAGAUAUAAUAAAGGUGUUCACCAACCCUCUCCUUAAUGAUUUGCUCUAGAACUCCAAGUAUCAAAGUCAAGUUCAUUGAGCUAUAACUUGCAGAAUUUCUUUUCUUCUCUUCUCUGAAAAGCAAGCCAAUAUUUGUCUGUCUCAGUCUUACAGUACCUCUCACAACUGCCACAAUCUGUCAAGUAUCACUGGUACUGGUUUAGUUUAGUAAUUACAUUCACCAGUUCUUUCAGUACCCAAAGUAUAGUUCACUGGGGCCAGAUGACCUGAAUCCAUCAAGGGCAACCAGCAACUGUCUUACUAUCUCCUUAUUGAUCUUUGAUGCUCUCUGUAGCCAUUUUCAGUGAAAAUGUCAUUUUGUCUGACUGAGAAAAGAGAAACAAAAGAAAAAUUGAACAGC